GACGAACGCUGGCGGCGUGCCUAAUACAUGCAAGUCGAGCGAGCGGAACUAACAGAUUUACUUCGGUAAUGACGUUGGGAAAGCGAGCGGCGGAUGGGUGAGUAACACGUGGGGAACCUGCCCCAUAGUCUGGGAUACCACUUGGAAACAGGUGCUAAUACCGGAUAAGAAAGCAGAUCGCAUGAUCAGCUUUUAAAAGGCGGCGUAAGCUGUCGCUAUGGGAUGGCCCCGCGGUGCAUUAGCUAGUUGGUAAGGUAAAGGCUUACCAAGGCGAUGAUGCAUAGCCGAGUUGAGAGACAGAUCGGCCACAUUGGGACUGAGACACGGCCCAAACUCCUACGGGAGGCAGCAGUAGGGGAUCUUCCACAAUGGACGCAAGUCUGAUGGAGCAACGCCGCGUGAGUGAAGAAGGUUUUCGGAUCGUAAAGCUCUGUUGUUGGUGAAGAAGGAUAGAGGUAGUAACUGGCCUUUAUUUGACGGUAAUCAACCAGAAAGUCACGGCUAACUACGUGCCAGCAGCCGCGGUAAUACGUAGGUGGCAAGCGUUGUCCGGAUUUAUUGGGCGUAAAGCGAGCGCAGGCGGAAGAAUAAGUCUGAUGUGAAAGCCCUCGGCUUAACCGAGGAACUGCAUCGGAAACUGUUUUUCUUGAGUGCAGAAGAGGAGAGUGGAACUCCAUGUGUAGCGGUGGAAUGCGUAGAUAUAUGGAAGAACACCAGUGGCGAAGGCGGCUCUCUGGUCUGCAACUGACGCUGAGGCUCGAAAGCAUGGGUAGCGAACAGGAUUAGAUACCCUGGUAGUCCAUGCCGUAAACGAUGAGUGCUAAGUGUUGGGAGGUUUCCGCCUCUCAGUGCUGCAGCUAACGCAUUAAGCACUCCGCCUGGGAGUACGACCGCAAGGUUGAAGCUCAAAGGAAUUGACGGGGGCCCGCACAAGCGGUGGAGCAUGUGGUUUAAUUCGAAGCUACGCGAAGAACCUUACCAGGUCUUGACAUCUAGUGCCAUUUGUAGAGAUACAAAGUUCCCUUCGGGGACGCUAAGACAGGUGGUGCAUGGCUGUCGUCAGCUCGUGUCGUGAGAUGUUGGGUUAAGUCCCGCAACGAGCGCAACCCUUGUUAUUAGUUGCCAGCAUUAAGUUGGGCACUCUAAUGAGACUGCCGGUGACAAACCGGAGGAAGGUGGGGAUGACGUCAAGUCAUCAUGCCCCUUAUGACCUGGGCUACACACGUGCUACAAUGGGCAGUACAACGAGAAGCGAGCCUGCGAAGGCAAGCGAAUCUCUGAAAGCUGUUCUCAGUUCGGACUGCAGUCUGCAACUCGACUGCACGAAGCUGGAAUCGCUAGUAAUCGCGGAUCAGCACGCCGCGGUGAAUACGUUCCCGGGCCU
rnacentral:rRNA from 1 species